rnacentral:rRNA from 1 species
UGCGAGUCGAGAGUCCUCGGGACUCGGCGUACCGCUCAGUAACACGUGGGUAACCUGCCCUAUGCUGGGGAAUAACCUCGGGAAACUGAGAAUAAUGCCCCAUAGCCCACUACGCCUGGAACGGUGAGUGGGUCAAAGCCCCGGCGGCAUAGGAUGGGCCUGCGCCGUAUCAGGUUGUAGGGGGUGUAAAGUACCCUCUAGCCAUCAACGCGUACGGGUGUUGGGAGACAUUGCCCGGAGAUGGAUUCUGAGACACGAAUCCAGACCCUACGGGGUGCAGCAGGCGCGAAAACUUGGCAAUGCGAGAAAUCGUGACCAGGGAACUCCAAGUGCGUAGGGUAAGACCUACGCUUUUCUUGACUCUUCAAAGGUCUUGGAAUAAGGGGUGGGUAAGGACGGUGCCAGCCGCCGCGGUAAUACCGGCGCCUCAAGUGGUAGUCGCUUUUAUUGGGCCUAAAACGUCCGUAGCCGGUCUGAUGCAUUCGUGGGUAAAUCCACCCGCUCAACGGGUUGAAUUCUGCGAGCACGGCCAGACUUGGGACCGGGAGAGGUGUGGGGUACUCUCAGGGUAGGGGGAAAAUCCUGUCAUCCUGAGAGGACCACCUGUUGCGAAGGCGCCCCACUAGAACGGAUCCGACGGUCAGGGACGAAACCUAGGGGCACGAACCGGAUUAGAUACCCGGGUAGUCCUAGGUGUAAACGCUGUGGACUUGAUGUUGGGGGCGCUCCGAGCGCUCUCAGCGUCGAAGCGAAAGUGAUAAGUCCACUGCCUGGGGAGUACGGUCGCAAAGCUGAAACUUAAAAGAAUUGGCGGGGG